rnacentral:rRNA from 1 species
GUGGGGAAUCUUCCGCAAUGGACGAAAGCCUGACCCAGCAACGCCGCGUGAAGGAAGAAGGUCUUCGGAUCGUAAACUUCUAUCCUUGGUGAAGAUAAUGACGGUAGCCGAGAAGGAAGCCCCGGCUAACUACGUGCCAGCAGCCGCGGUAAUACGUAGGGGGCAAGCGUUUUCCGGAAUGAUUGGGCGUAAAGGGCGCGUAGGCGGCCUGGUAAGUCUGGAGUGAAAGUCCUGCUUUUAAGGUGGGAAUUGCUUUGGAUACUGUCGGGCUUGAGUGCAGGAGAGGUAAGUGGAAUUCCCGGUGUAGCGGUGAAAUGCGUAGAGAUCGGGAGGAACACCAGUGGCGAAGGCGACUUACUGGACUGUAACUGACGCUGAGGCGCGAAAGUGUGGGGAGCAAACAGGAUUAGAAACCCUAGUAGUCC